AUAAAUAUAGUUUAGAAAAAACAUUAUAUUUUCAUUAUAAAAAUAAUAUUUAAAAAUUAUUUAUUUAUU
rnacentral:tRNA from 1 species